rnacentral:rRNA from 1 species
CUACGGGGGACACCAGUGAGGAAUUUUGCGCAAUGGGGGAAACCCUGACGCAGCAACGCCGCGUGAGCGAAGAAGGCCCUCGGGUCGUAAAGCUCUGUCAAGUGGGAAAAAAAUUUUUUGAUCAAUAGUCAAAAGACUUGAUGGUACCACUGGAGGAAGCACCGGCUAACUCCGUGCCAGCAGCCGCGGUAAUACGGAGGGUGCAAGCGUUGUUCGGAAUUACUGGGCGUAAAGAGCGUGUAGGCGGUUUAGCAAGUCAGAUGUGAAAGCCCUGGGCUCAACCCGGGAAGUGCAUUUGAAACUGCUUCACUAGAGUAUGGGAGAGGAGAUUGGAAUUCCUGGUGUAGAGGUGAAAUUCGUAGAUAUCAGGAGGAACACCCGUGGCGAAGGCGAUUCUCUGGACCAAUACUGACGCUGAGACGCGAAAGCGUGGGGAGCAAACAGGAUUAGAUACCCUGGUAGUC